GGCCGCGGGAAUUCGAUUUCCGGUUGAUCCUGCCAGACCCGACUGCUAUCAGAGUGGGACUAAGCCAUGCGAGUCAACGUAGCAAUGCGUGGCGAACGGCUCAGUAACACGUAGUCAACAUGCCCAGGGGACGUGGAUAACCUCGGGAAACUGAGAUUAAACCGCGAUAGGUCAAGAUUUCUGGAAUGGAUCGUGUCUUAAAUCUACAUGGCCCCUGGAUUGGACUGCGGCCGAUCAGGCUGUUGGUGAGGUAAUGGCCCACCAAACCUAUAACCGGUACGGGCUCUGAGAGGAGAAGCCCGGAGAUGGGCACUGAGACAAGGGCCCAGGCCCUAUGGGGCGCAGCAGGCGCGAAACCUCUGCAAUGGGCGAAAGCCUGACAGGGUUACUCUGAGUGAUUUCCGCUAAGGAGAUCUUUUGGCAGCUCUAAAAAUGGUGCAGAAUAAGGGGUGGGCAAGUCUGGUGUCAGCCGCCGCGGUAAUACCAGCACCCCGAGUGGUCGGGACGAUUAUUGGGCCUAAAGCAUCCGUAGCCGGUUGUGCAAGUCCUCCGUUAAAUCCAGCCGCUCAACGGAUGGGCUGCGGAGGAUACUACAGAACUAGGAGGCGGGAGAGGCAAGCGGUACUUAGUGGGUAGGGGUAAAAUCCUUUGAUCCAUUGAAGACCACCAGUGGCGAAGGCGGCUUGCCAGAACGCGCUCGACGGUGAGGGAUGAAAGCUGGGGGAGCAAACCGGAUUAGAUACCCGGGUAGUCCCAGCUGUAAACGAUGCAGACUCGGUGAUGGGCUAGCCUCGUGUCAGCCCAGUGCCGCAGGGAAGCCGUUAAGUCUGCCGCCUGGGGAGUACGGUCGCAAGACUGAAACUUAAAGGAAUUGGCGGGGGAGCACCACAAGGGGUGAAGCCUGCGGUUCAAUUGGAUUCAACGCCGGGAAUCACUAGUGAAUUC
rnacentral:rRNA from 1 species